UCAUGGCUCAGGAUGAACGCUAGCGACAGGCUUAACACAUGCAAGUCGAGGGGCAGCACGGGAGUAGCAAUACAACUGGUGGCGACCGGCGCACGGGUGAGUAACGCGUAUGCAACCUACCAUCAGAGGGGAAUAACCGGCGAAAGUCGGACUAAUACCGCAUAAAACAGGGGCACCGCAUGGUGAUAUUUGUUAAAGAAAUUCGCUGAUAGAUGGGCAUGCGUUCCAUUAGGUAGUUGGUGAGGUAACGGCUCACCAAGCCGACGAUGGAUAGGGAACUGAGAGGUUGGUCCCCCACACUGGUACUGAGACACGGACCAGACUCCUACGGGAGGCAGCAGUGAGGAAUAUUGGUCAAUGGGCGGGAGCCUGAACCAGCCAAGUCGCGUGAAGGAAGAAGGAUCUAUGGUUCGUAAACUUCUUUUGCAGGGGAAUAAAGUGCAGGACGUGUCCUGUUUUGUAUGUACCCUGAGAAUAAGGAUCAGCUAACUCCGUGCCAGCCGCCGC
rnacentral:rRNA from 1 species